rnacentral:rRNA from 1 species
UGGUCUUAGCUUGCUAAGGCUGAUGGCGACCGGCGCACGGGUGAGUAACACGUAUCCAACCUGCCGUCUACUCUUGGCCAGCCUUCUGAAAGGAAGAUUAAUCCAGGAUGGCAUCAUGAGUUCACAUGUCCGCAUGAUUAAAGGUAUUUUCCGGUAGACGAUGGGGAUGCGUUCCAUUAGAUAGUAGGCGGGGUAACGGCCCACCUAGUCAACGAUGGAUAGGGGUUCUGAGAGGAAGGUCCCCCACAUUGGAACUGAGACACGGUCCAAACUCCUACGGGAGGCAGCAGUGAGGAAUAUUGGUCAAUGGGCGAUGGCCUGAACCAGCCAAGUAGCGUGAAGGAUGACUGCCCUAUGGGUUGUAAACUUCUUUUAUAAAGGAAUAAAGUCGGGUAUGCAUACCCGUUUGCAUGUACUUUAUGAAUAAGGAUCGGCUAACUCCGUGCCAGCAGCCGCGGUAAUACGGAGGAUCCGAGCGUUAUCCGGAUUUAUUGGGUUUAAAGGGAGCGUAGAUGGAUGUUUAAGUCAGUUGUGAAAGUUUGCGGCUCAACCGUAAAAUUGCAGUUGAUACUGGAUGUCUUGAGUGCAGUUGAGGCAGGCGGAAUUCGUGGUGUAGCGGUGAAAUGCUUAGAUAUCACGAAGAACUCCGAUUGCG